AGUCCUGGCUCUUCCUGAAAUGGGGCCGCCAGCCCUCCAGGGCGGGCGUCCAGCUCUGGCUGGCCUCAAGGAGGGAACAGGAUGAGGACCCAGUAGGGGAGAGGCAGAAAGCCGUCGGGUCAAACUCCAAGGCAUUCUGGCUGACCUGCGGGAUGUGGAUGGGCUGCCCCCAAAAGUGACUGGCCCGCCUCCUGGCACACCCCAGCCCCGGCCACAUGAAGACGUCUUCAUCAUGGACACUAUCGGGGGCGGGGAGGUGAGCCUGGGGGACUUGGCAGAUCUCACCGUCACCAAUGACAACGACCUCAGCUGCGAUCUGUCUGACAGCAAAGAUGCUUUUAAGAAGACGUGGAACCCCAAGUUCACCCUGCGCUCGCACUACGACGGCAUUCGUUCCCUGGCCUUCCACCACAGCCAGUCGGCUCUGCUCACCGCCUCCGAGGAUGGCACGCUCAAGCUCUGGAACCUGCAGAAGGCGGUCACGGCCAAGAAGAAUGCGGCGCUAGAUGUGGAACCUAUACAUGCUUUCCGGGCUCACAGGGGCCCAGUGUUGGCUGUGGCUAUGGGCAGCAACAGUGAAUACUGCUACAGUGGCGGGGCGGAUGCCUGCAUCCAUAGUUGGAAGAUUCCAGACCUCAGCAUGGAUCCCUAUGAUGGCUACGACCCAAGCGUGCUGAGCCACGUCCUGGAGGGCCACGGGGACGCCGUGUGGGGCCUGGCCUUCAGUCCCACCUCCCAGCGCCUGGCCUCCUGCUCUGCUGAUGGCACCGUCCGCAUCUGGGACCCCAGCAGCAGCAGCCCGGCCUGCCUCUGCACCUUCCCCACAGCCAGCGAGCACGGGAUCCCCACC
rnacentral:sRNA from 1 species